rnacentral:tRNA from 1 species
GGUGCGUUAGUUCAGUUGGCUAGAAUAUCGGCCUGUCACGCCGAAGGUCACGGGUUCGAGCCCCGUACGCAUCG